GCUAUAGUGGGGCGAGCAGCCGCGGUAGCACAGAGUGUUGGAGAGUAAUUCGGAAUUAUGAGUCUGCAAGUUGUCAGGGGUGGUGUAGGAAGAUGGGGGUGAAAUCCCUGGGGUUAACUUGUGAACGGCUUUCAGAUCGGCGGAGCGAGAGUACGGGAGAGGGUAGUGGAAGUUCCUGUGUAGCGGUGAAAUGCGGAGAUAUAGGAAGGAACACCAGUGGCGAAGGCGACUACCUGGACUGAUACUGACACUGAGGGGCGAAAGCGUGGGGAGCAAACAGGAUUAGAUACCGAGUAUC
rnacentral:rRNA from 1 species